rnacentral:rRNA from 1 species
GACGAACGCUGGCGGCGUGCUUAACACAUGCAAGUCGAACGGUAAGGCCCUUCGGGGUACACGAGCGGCGAACGGGUGAGUAACACGUGGGUGAUCUGCCCUGCACUUCGGGAUAAGCCUGGGAAACUGGGUCUAAUACCGGAUAGGACCACUGCCUGCAUGGGUGGUGGUGGAAAGCUUUUGCGGUGUGGGAUGGGCCCGCGGCCUAUCAGCUGGUUGGUGGGGUGAUGGCCUACCAAGGCGACGACGGGUAGCCGGCCUGAGAGGGUGACCGGCCACACUGGGACUGAGUUACGGCCCAGAAUACUACGGGAGGCAGCAGUGGGGAAUAUAGCACAAUGGGCGCAAGCCUGGUGCAGCGACGCCGCGUGAGGGAUGACGGCCUUCGGGUUGUAAACCUCUUUCAGCACCGACGAAGCGCAAGUGACGGUAGGUGCAGAAGAAGGACCGGCCAACUACGUGCCAGCCGCCGCGGUAA